rnacentral:lncRNA from 1 species
ACCUGCUGGAAGGGGUCCUAAGAUGAAACUCAGCAGCAGCGCGUGGCCACUGUAGGGACCUAGGAGCUGAACAACCUGCUCCACUUCAUUUCGAUUAGAAGUAACACUUU